UGUGAGCAUACGGGCUUGUUCUGCUAUUGUUCUUCACGUAUUACAGACAAAUGGCAUUGUGGGUAAUAUGCUAGCUAAAAAGUCAAGUGCACCGCAUCAGUCCGUUUGUUUUUAGUUUUUGCCCUGACUGCAAAAAUGGAAGAUUAUAUAUAAGCUAAAACAUUUGUCAAAACUGGACUUUCAAUCACACUGUGGAAUACCACAAGAGAGUCUAAUUUGCAGGGCAUGCUCAAGCUAACGUGCCAUUCCAUUGCAUUGGUCAGGUUUUAUUGUUGGAUUCAGAUGUUGAGUGAUCGUGGUUACUAGUGGAGAUUCUGGAGAUCCUUGGAGAAACUUCUAGUACUGGAUGGCGAGCCAACCUCACUUGAUAUAGAGCCCGGUUGUAGCUAGGAGGUUGCAACCUAGAGAGACUCGGCCAAAGAGCCUUGAUCUAUUUCCCCUUGGCCCAAGGGGUCAGAUAUGGCUGCCGCUCAGUGAUGUCAUCCUGGGAGGCAGGAGUAAGGCAGGCUGGAAACCCUGGGCGGGAGUUCGGACCUGCACACAAAAUAUGGUAUCGAGUGAAGUUCCAUUUCUGCUUAUGGACCAAGAUGACAUCUUUACCGGGGAUGGUGAUUACAUCCAGCUCCUUUGCA